rnacentral:lncRNA from 1 species
UUUCCUUGCUCAGGUUUUUUCCCACUGGAUUUUUCCUGAUAAGAUUUUUAAUGAGGCAGCAUGCAAUAUAUAUUAUUAGUAUACUCUUUUCCCUUGACUAAGAUUUUUUCCCACGGGGUUUUUCCUAGUAAGGUUUUAACGAGGCACAUAAUAAUGAACAUCCAAGAGGGAGUAUUACGAAAAUAUUAUUAUUGAUGUCCAUUUAUUACUUAGCUAUAGAUAAUCUUCCUGAAGAAGAUUAUCCAUUUAAUACUCCAUUGAAGUUUAUCUACAAGCAACUGAUGCAGGCAAGUUGCAAGUAACUCAAUGAAAUGACUUGCAACAUCUUCUUGGUUUGAUGGGAUUAAUUUAAAUCGAUCUGAAAUAGUGGUGGAUAAUACUCUCUACAACUUCAACUUUUGAGAAGAUGGUAUACAAGAAGUUAUACUCCAUUUUAACCUGUUUAAAUUAGAGUAUAACAUAUUGGUGAUUAUUUAUUAUUAACUAAAGAGCCGCCACCUAACUAUAUUAAAAUAUGAGUUAGGGCACCUAAAUUAUCAACUAUUAACUCUAUAAGGUCUACUAAACAUUAGAGAUUCUAAUGUAAGGAUUCAAUUAAUCUUUAAGAGAACGUGUAAGGCACUCUUUAAAAUUCAUAUUAAAAUGGUUUACCAACCGGACUUAGGUUAAUUAAAAUAAAAAAUAUGUUAAAGUGCAAGUAAAAUUUAAGUUCUAGAAGUUGGAAUGGUGAUAGUUGAAAUAAAAAUAUUUGAUGCUUUAAAUUAUAUUGAACCGUAAACAACCUUAAUCUAACAGUUCCAAAAUCCAUCUUUACGGGUUCUUACAUAAAAAGGAAAAGGAAUUCACAUCUUCUAAAGGUAGAUAUCAUAUUAAAGGAUAAAAGUAUGCCCAUUACUAACUAAAGUGGAAGUCUUCAAAUAAUAAGACUAAGUCAUUAAUCCUAUGUAAGUCAUUUUGUUAACUAGAAACCAAGCAGUUAAUCAAAAAACAACAAUCAGUAAAGGAAACGAGUAGCUAAAAUAGAAUAAUUAUUAAUAAUAAUAAUAAUCUAUUUGAUAAUCCAAUAUCCAACUAUGUUCUCCACUGCUCUUGUACAGUGCAAGAGAAAUAACGUAAAGGGAAUAUGCAAUGGCUCCAUGGUUGGCAGGGUCUUGCAUUAAGAUCCCAUUUUGCUCCAAAGUGUUCACGCAAAACAAAGAGAUAAUAGAAACGAAGACAUUAGCAAUGAUAAUACAAUCUUUAGAAGAAAACGUACAAGAAAAAUAAAAAAAUACGACUGCACCAUCAAAGACUACAAACUGAUUCUUGUCUAUUUGCCAAGUCUAAAUAAAUCUACUUAAGUACUCACAUUUCAUCACAAUGGCUUAAAUUAACUAGAACCAGUACUAUACUUCUUACCAUUCUUUAAAGAAAAAAAACUAGUAAUCCCUAUGGAAGAAUAUUAAAGCAUGUUUUCUACAAAGAUAAUAUGGAAGUGAAAUAAACCUAUAUUCACAUAUCAUUACACCAUGUAGAAGACAUAGGGCAAUAGACAAUCUUACAUAAAUUCAUGAAAUCAAUUUCACUAGGUAAUAUGGAGAUCCCGAAUUUUGUAAUUUUACUAGAUAUGGUAUCCAACAAGGCGAUAUCGGAAGUCAAAUAUAUACUCAUGUAAUCGAGGAAGGCAAGAACACAUGUCAUUUUAAUCUAACUACAAUAUAUUCUUUCUACCUUAUAGGUAUGAUUUCCUAAAUCAAGAGUGGAAUAAGCUUGUAUUAUACUAACAUACGAGAGGUUCAUAUUGUAUUUUUACUGAAUUAUAGCAAUAAGCUUUAUCCCUAAGGCAUGGUACCUAAGCCCUGAAAGCUCUUAGGUCAUACACUCUACAUUGUCCUUAGAAUAUGAAAGAGAAUAAUACAACUACACAAAGUAUAUUAGCAUCUCAAAGUUUCAACAUACGAAGUAUUUUUGCUAAGUCAUGAUUUCUAUGGAAAAAGAACACCUAGCUAUAAAUCUCAUUUUUAUUAUUAUGAAGUUAAACUAACACUAUAAAAGAGAUUUAAAUUAUGGACAAGUAUAUAACACAUAAGCGGACAUAAACAGAGGAAAAGGGUAUUUUAACGAGCUAGUAAUCAUUAACGUUAUCCAAUUACUUUUAGCAAACAUGAUGAACGAAUUUUGGCAGACCUUAGCAUCAUAAGGUUAGACAUGUAUUUCUAAGGCCUGACUAAAAAAUAAACACUUCAAACACAGCAAAAAAUUUAAACGAGCAAAGUAAUAGAAGUUUGAUUUAGAUCUAACCUUUUUGGAGGCUGUGAACUUGAGCUUUGAGGCUUCAGAUCCACUCCCUUUUGAUACGAUCGAAACCAACAGAGAUUUAAUAACACUAGGAUCUUUUAAAGAUGAUGGUCAACAUCAAACGAAUAGCUUAGUCAAGGGAUUUUCAGAUAAUAAAACUUGGUUUUUUUGAGGAGAUUCCAGAAUGGAUUUUCGGAUGAGACUAAGAGAGCUAUUUAUAGGCCAAAAACACAGAUCUAGGGUUCCAUAAGCGGGAAUUGAAAGAGUCGUAUGAAAUUUGAAAUGCCCGUUUGAGAUCAUUCCAAAAUAGGGCAGAAAGGAGAUCAAACAAAUCGUCCUUUUGCUUCAGAGUUACAGUGAUUUGGUCAACAUUUGAUAUAAAAAAUUUUGCUUUUCAGUAAGAGAUUUGAAUACAUAAAAGAAAAGAGGAGACUUUGCUGAAAUAGGAGGGAC